GUCUGAAAACCGUCUGACACACACUUCAUAGGAUCAGAAGAGACUGGAGAACUAUCGACGACACAAAGACGCCAAGAUGUUGAAGAUUGUAUUGUUUCUAUGUCUUGUAGGUCUGGCAGCUUCCACCAACUACUUCGGACUAGGAAUGAAAGCACAAAAACCGAUGAUGACCAAAAGAUGUGCUGGAACUCAUACAAAUAAACUAU